AGAUGCUUAACCAACUGUGCCACCCAGGUGUUCCCUUUUGAAUGGGAGAGUUAUACAUCAGCCCUGGAUCCCCAGCAAUGCACCCUACUUGUACAAAUAAUACAUGUUUGAAGGGAGGAGCCAUGCUUAUAAUUCCUUGCAUUCUCCUGGCAUAUCCGGCACUGGGCUCAGCACAAAGUAGUUGUUGAGGAAAUCCUUGCUGAGUUGAAUCAAAAUCCUUCUGUAGCAGAGCUUUGCAGAACUUGC